rnacentral:lncRNA from 1 species
AACUGAGCUUGAAGAAGAUGAAUGUGGCGAGCCACGCCUUCCCCUUAAGCAAGGCCCUACUCUUGGACAUGGCUCGAAACCCGUACGAGUCCUCCAAGACCGACACCACGCUGGCAAGCUGCCAUGUUAUGGUGAAGUAAAGGAAUCCGACAAAGUAGAGGACGAGGAGGACGGGGAAGGCGACGUUCCCCUCCCACGUUGUGUUGAUGAGGGCGACUGCAACUGCGACGAAGAUGAUAAAUGUGAUGAAGUUAUAGGCGAAGAUGAAGAGGAAGUAGCAUAGGAAGGUCACGAUUAAUCGUCUCCAUACUUUGGGUACCACGACCGUGAUCACCUGUUUGAGACACAAAAGUUUUAAUUAUGAUGGGUGGAAUAAUGAUUCAAAAGAAAUAUUGAGC